GUCUGUACCAAACAUUGUCAGUGUUCCAGCCAUGCUGGUAAAUGUUUAACAAUGAGCUCUCAAAAAGAAAACCCCGAAUUAUGGCACUUGCCAAUUUCCAUGGUGUAAAUACUCCCACAUGGCUGACAUCAAACUAAAUUAAUGGUUGUCUCCACACAUGUAGCUGGGAAGCAAUGCUCACACCCCAGAGGGAGCUGGCCCCGAACACCCCCCUGUGCCCUCUUGCCUGACCCGGUUUGGACACCAGCUGCCUGGCGGCCAGUGCUGGGGCGUUUUGUCCGGUGCUGCCCUCAGAAGGCACUCUGCCUGAGAGUACGCAAAGCCAGCAGUGCCUGGGAGUUUACAGCCCCCAGGGGGAUCUUGUGGGUACAAAUACUGCAACUGUUGGCUCUGAUUGGCUGGCUCUGGGAUGUGACUUCCUCCCUAGAGGCUGAGCCAAAGGCAUCUUCAGCUGACUUUGCUUGAAGCCUCACCUUGGCUUGGCUUCCUGCCUUUUUUCCUCUCAGUUCCUCUUCCACCUGUCUUUGCAGAUAACUUUCCUGGUAACUUCCUUUCACACGCAACCUUGUCUCAGGGUCUACUUCUAGGGAACCCACGUAAGGCUGCAUCUCUAGAUAUCUUUUUCCCUUAAAUGCCCUGGGGUUUGGGAGAGUUUCCCACUCAAUAAUACUCAGUAAGCUUUCCCAUUAACCCCGCUAUAAGCUUUUCUUGGUUUCCUCUGUGUCUGUGCCCCAAGGUGUGUCUGUCGUGGGGGGAUGAGUCAUGGAGCAAAGUCCUCCCCACUGACUCAGCAAUGCCAUUUCCUGCCCACAACCUUCUAGAACUCUUGCACUUUGACACAAUGGGGACCAGCCCACCCCUGAUUCACCAGCUCAGUUUUCUGUCACAUCCUGUACUUUCCCUGAGGAUUUUUCUGUUCUCCUUCUGACCAGAGUCAACGCCAACCAACCCACAAGCAGCAGAGAACAGAAACGUGGCCAGAUGGUCUCCAAUACGGAUCAAAAACAUAAAGAGGCAAACGUGGAGGGGCGGAAGGUCCUUGGCCCUUUUCUCUUGAAAUUGAGUUCGCUGUGUUGAAAUGUCCAUCGUGUCUGCAUCCCCUUCCUGGUUUUCCCCAAAGAGGCCGUGGCGGGGGAACAGGUGGCGUUCCAUGUGGUGGCAACAUGAAGGGAUCACUCGCCAGCGAGCAUAAUCGCUCUGGAAACAUUCGGAAUACUCAUAUGUUCUGUACUUUUCCCCUGAGUCAAUAAGGUAGAAAUGCAUCAGGAGAAAGUCAAAGGUUUCUGUCAAAAUCCAGACCACAGGGAGAAAAUGACGAGUUGAUGGGGCUCACCCUGUGAUCAAUUUCUCCGUGAACCUGACAGGGAAGUCUUCUUAGAGGGCACCUCAGCGUCUGAAGUUGGCUUUCACAAUGAGCAGAAGGUGAAAAGCUGCCAAACAACAGCCACUUUCAAAAUCCAGUGAAAACAGAACUAAGCCAACAAAGGAAUAACAAGGUCCCAGGUUGCAAAACAAAACAAGUUGGGAAAACUUGUCCAAGAGCUGUACUGAACUCUUGCAUGGGCGCUGACGUACACAAAUCAUCCUCAUCACCUCUGAAACGAGGCAGCUCUAAAUUACUUCUUGAAUUCCAUAUGGUUAAUCUGCAGGCACAGGAACAUGCUUUAGGGUGAAAUUUAGUUGUUGUUGUUUUCACUGGGCUUGCAAUAACAUAUUGUAAAUGACUAAGGCUAGAUGACACUUUCACACCAGUCUUGAAAUCAUCCCAGUGAUCUUGACCCAAUGCCAGAUGAGGAUCUUGGUGCAGAUAAAGCGACUGUGCUUCUUCUUCCUGCAGAAUUAACAUUAACAAUCCUGCACAUUAACAAUCUAGAACUAUGUUAGCCAGGGUAUUUGAGGCAGAAUUCUGAACUGAAAUUGGUCGUCUCCUAGCACAAUGAUUUUUAAAUACAAAACAAGCAAACACACAAAAAGAAAAAAAGAAACAACAAGAAAUUUUAAAAUGUCGUAUCUAUCUUAUGAAAGCCAAAAUGAAAGAUUGGCAACCUUUCCUGAAUAUGGGCAUUGUCCACAUCUAAUCUAGAUGAUGUGGGUCCAGUUUUCUCUUUCUUCAAUCAUCUGAUGUUUUUACAUUCAAAUUGGUAGGAAAAGGAUGCUUUCCAGUUUAAUUUUCUUUAAAAUAAUUUCGCAGAUUUCUGAAUCCAUAUGCAAUUUUUAAGAGCACAGACUUUGGACUCAAAAAUGAGUUUAAAUUCUCAGUCUGCCACUUACAAGAUGAGUAAGGUGAAAAACCCCUUCACCUCUGUAAGCCUCAGGUGAGUAUCUUAUAAGGUUGCUGGAGAGGUUACGAGACACAAGGCAUAGAAAAGGGCUUCCUGUGUUAUAGUCUGCCCAUAGAGCAAGCACGUCUUUCUUUCUUUCUUUUCUUUCUUUCUUUUCUUCCUUCUUUCUUUUUUUUUUUUUUCAUUGAGAUAGGGCCUCACUCUGUCACCCAGGCUGCAGUGGAAUGGUGCCAUCUCGGCUCACUGCAACCUCCACCUCCUGGGUUCAAGCCAUUCUCAUGCCUGCCUUCUGAGUAGCUAGGAUUACAGGCACCUGCCACCAUGCCUGGCUAAGGUUUGUAUUUUUAGCAGAGAUGGGGUUUCAACAUGUUGACCAGGCUGGCCUUGAACUCCUGACCUCAGGUGAUCUGCCCACCUCAGCCUCCCAAACUGCUGGGGUGACAGGUGUGAGCCAACGUGCCUGGCCCAAUUAUGAUUAUUUCUGUUUUCUUAGUUUGUCCCUUACUUGAAACAGAUUAGUUAUUUACAACAUGGAGUUUGUGUCUCUGUAACUUUGUAAUCAUGCAAAAUAAUUGUACAUGAUCCACAUAUACACACACACACCACACACACACACAUAUCCUUAGAAGAAUAAUUUUCUCCAAAUUGAACUGUAAGGGUCUGUGUGAUUUGGGCAGAGAUAGUCGCUGCUGCUUUCCCAGCUAAUAAAGUUGUCCGAAUCUGUUUACUCUCAAAUUUAUAGAAAGAGCUUCAUUAGCAGCCUCCACGGAUGACACAGCCACCACAUGGCACGCAGAGUUAGUCUGAGGAUAAAUCUUGGUUUGCCCAGUUUUGCAGAGUGAUUCGUUUUUAAUGAAUUAUGCACACAGAUCAUAGGCUCUGCUCAAAGCCUCAUUUACUCUGGAAAUUCCUGAAAUUACUAUUCAUUUUGCUGAGUUCUUUUUUUACCCUCUUGAAAGCUCACAAAAACCCUCUGAAAAAGAAAAGCAUCAGCAUACAUAUUGUUGUAGAUUAGAAAACACAAAUGAUUUGAUAGAAAGCAGGUUUGGGGUGAAAUAAUCAUAAUAGUGAAUCAGCUCUCUGACUUUUUUUGAUGCUAUGGAAACCCUGGCAGUGAAGAAACUUUGAUUAAAUAGAUUCACAAUAGAUUCAAGCGUACUCAAGGGCUGGGGUCUUAACAUCUCUGGAGUGGCUCACAGUGCUGAGCACAUGGCAGACGCCCAAUCAAUUCGUGCAAACAAAUGAACAGAAUCAGAUUUCCAAGGAGUUCUUCAGGAAGUCAAGUAAUGCAUUGACCCUUUCCUUCAGCAUUACAUCCACGGAGCCUGCCUGUCUAAAUGAUUCAGAUCCGCUCUGCAACUCUAUGCAGGAGAAACACAUUUUCCUUUUCUGGUGGAUCAGACAACAGCAGGACUUCUGGAUUAUGUCUUCUGCAUAGGUUGCAGCAGGGAAACAUAGCAUUACGCGUGUAGACAGGGCAGGUUUAAUGCUAGGCAACGUUCUUAAGGGAGAUCAGAAAAGCAACUAGCAUGCCAGGUCUACUGUCCCGGCCCCCAAGGCUCAGCACAGAUAUUUGGAAAACCAGGAGUUGAGCAUUUGACUGGAAAAUAAAAACAACAUAGACUCGUGCAUUUGAUCAGUGAACUUGGAGCGCACACCAUGGAUUAGGCACAGCUGGGCACCGAGGAGACAUCACCUGGCUUAUAAGUCAUCUGUGCCCUCUGGGGACUGACAGUCCAGCUGGGAAUGAGGAUCAGGAGGUCAGAAAUUAAGUAAAGAGCAAAGAAGAAUGCAACAUGAGUAAACGCAAAAAUAAAAAAUAAAAACAAACAAAACAAGUUGGCCCUGACCAUCAGGCAGUAUGGUAUGGAGAAGACCACGGGCUUGUGUCUAUCAGUCAGACCUGCUUUGAGUCUUGGCUCCACCAUAAACCAGAUGAGUUAAGUUUCAUACCCUCUCUAAACGGUCGCCUCAGCUAUACAACAGGCUCAAUGAUAUUCACCCCACAAGAUUGCUAUAAGAAGGAAAUGGUAUGACCUUGGGGCAAGAAGAGGUACCAUUGUCCCCACUGUCCACAGAUGGUGACAUUUGUUCAGGACAACCUGGCCAUUAAGGAGGAGAACUCUAUGAGAACAAGGUCUGCGUCCCUAGAUGGCAUUCAUACAGUGGUGGUCUUUACACUGCUGGUGCUUUGAGAGGAAGAAGGGCAGUGACACCAACCGGACUACGGUCAGGGUAUUCUUCCCUGCCACGAACUCACAUUAAAGAUUUAAAACCCACUGGCCAAGGUGGCUCAUCACUGUAAUCCCAGCACUUUGGGAAGCCAAGGUAGGGGGAUUACUUGAAGCCAGGAGUUUGAGACCAGUCUGGGCAACACAGCAAGAGCCUAUCUCUACAAAAAAUUUAAAAAAUUAGCCAAGUGUGGUGGGGUACCCCUGUAGUCCCAGCUACUUGGGAAGCUGCAGUGGGAGGAUUCAGUGAGCCCAGGAGGUUAAGGUUUCAGUGUGCGGUGAUUGUGCCGCUGCACUCCAGCCUAGGUGACAGAGCGAGACCCUGUCUAAAAAUAAAUAAAUAAAAAAUAAAUAAAAUAAAAAUUGAAAUCCCAGUUUCACUAAACAAUGUCUUUGAUAAGGAAUAAGCAGGCCAGGCAUGGUGGCUCACCUCUAUAAUCCCAGCACUUUGGGAGGCCGAGGCAGGUGGAUCUCUUAAGCCCAGGAGUUCGAGACCAGCCUGGGCAACAUGGGGGGCCCUGUCCUUACUAAUAAUGCAAAAAAAAAAAAAAAAAAAAAUAGAGGGUGUGGUGGUGUGCACCUGUGUUUUCAGCUACUCAGGAGGCUGAGGUGGGAGAAUCACCCGAGCCCAGGAGGCUGAGGCUGCAGUGAGCUGUGACUGCACCACUGCACUCCAGCUUGGGUGACAGAGGAAGACUCUGUCUCAAACAAAGUCUUUCUUUAUAAGACUGUUUAUUAUUUAUCAACAGUGUUAGUUUUAUUCAAUCAUCCUUGGGUAUAUGUCUUUUUCAUAGUCUAUGUGAUAAACGGAAAGCUCAUAUGACACUUUGGCUGUGUGCUGAAGCACAGUGGCUGCGUCAAGGAAAAGUCAUUGUGAAGUUGUCUGAGUCCUAGACUCAACAAGCCUUUUUUAAAAAAAGAACGGAACAUCAUUUUUACUUGCAACAACACUCGACAGACAAAUCAUGGUUAUUCAGGCUUAGGUAGGUGGCAGACACUUUCUCGAAAAUGAACAAAGUGAGCCUGUCACUUUCAAGGAAAACAAUAGACAACUGGUUGCCAAUGAUAAAAUUUGAACAUUCAAGUAAAAAUGAGAAUGUUAAAAAACGUGUAUUUGCCAUGGCAAGCUUAACAGAUUCCCAGUUCUCAAAGACUUUUCCAGUGAGAUUAGUGGCAAUAAUUCAUGAAUGUGAUUUUUAAAAUAUUGUAUUGUCAAAUAUGCCAACAUUUGUAGGACUUUAAUAGCUAAGCAAACCAAUAUUUUCCAGAUGACCAGCGCAUGAUGUGACAAAACCAUCCUCUGGUAAAAGAUCCAUUUAGAGUGCAGAUGGGCCAGCGAAUUCUAAUGAAAGAGAAGAUGAAGUGUUCAUUGAUGUGGUUUCAGAUUUCCACAUUGCCGCUCACCUUUAAGAAACUGCCACUUGUUGAGUUUUGGUCUAGUAUCAAGAAGAACAGCCACAAUUAUCUGGAAAAGUCUAUCACAAUACUCAUCCCUUUGCCAAUUACAUAUCUGCAUGAGCUUGAUUUUCUUCAUGUACAUCAAUCAAAAUCUAUUGCAACAGACUGAAGUCAGAGGUGAAAAGCCUCCCUCUUCCCAAUGCUACCUGCCAGCUACGCUUCUCGGCAGAUGUUUCUGGACUUCAGUGGCCUCAUUUGCAAGCUGAGAGGGCUGAACAGAUGAACCCUACACUCUUCUGUCUGAAGUUUCUGUGCUCCCAAAUGUCUUCAUUUUAAAGAGGAGGUGGGGAAGAGAUGGAAACUUCUAAACUAAGUGCCUCGCCCAGACAGCUCUCCUCAAAGAAGGGGAGCAACCCCAACCCCUCCCCAGCAGUGAGGGUCCUGAACCCACCCUUGGCCCAUCACCCACCCCCAGCCCACAGCAAGGGUCCAUCCCUGCCUCCCUUAAGAUGGGGAAAUGGGUCUCUUGGGCUGCCAGUAUGUGAGCCUGCUCUCCCCAGAAGGCAUAAUCCCUAGUAGGUGAGAUUGUUGAGAAUAACGCUGGGGGGUCCUCUAGCCCGGAAACCCUGCAAGCUGACAUGGGGCCUUCUCAAUCCCCGUUCCCACCACACAGAGCUGCAUUCCUGGAAAAUGACACGGCGCCAAGAGGUUUUUAAUAGAAAUGACCCUGCUGAUCAUCCCAGCCACCCUGUGAGUACACACAGAGUAUCAGGAAAACCUUGUUUUUCAAAUGAAGACACUGAGGCUGGAAGCCACGCAGUGACUUGUCUGGGCUCUGGCCCAGCAGAGCCUCACAUGCAAAUCUCAGGAUCCUAAACACCAUUUUCAUUGCUUUCUUUCCCCAAAAUGUUUGUGGUCUCUUUUGUGUCAGGUAAAGCACUAGUCACUUUCUACAAAGCCUUGCACGUUUUAUGUUGGAUUAUUCUGCUAUUUUGGCAAAUAAUGUGAAAGUGUUUAAGCACUUUUAUGUCAAACCUAAUUUCCUUUCAACAUCAUGUGAUAAUACCAGAAGUUGGCAGGGGAAAUUUUGUUGUUUUUCUCUUAUUUUUAAGUUAAAUAUUAAUGAUAAAAAAGAACCAUCAAUAAGAGCCCCUUGCAGUCCCUGAGCUCUUCACAUCCUGGUGACUAUUUUUACUGGGAAGAUGCUUUUAUUUCUGACUCUGCAUGGUAACUGGGAUGACAUCAAUUAUUUGUUUGUUACCUCCCAAAUUAUCAAGGAGCCGAUGAUCUAAUGAUGAUGAUCAAUGACACAGGUGAUAGAUGAUGUCACAAUCUGAACACCUGCCGGGUGCCACCCAGCACCUUUCCUGCAUCGCCUCCCAUAUCCUCUGAGGACCCAAGAUCCACUUUAGUAUUUGCCACAUAGUAAAUGCUCAGAAAAUACCAGCGCAGUCACUCUUCUCUGGAGUCCAAUCUUCCCUGAACAGGUGCUCCUGCGCCCAUUUUAUAGGUGAGCAAACCGAGGAUAGAAAGUUUACAUCACUCCCUCAGGAUCCUGCAGCCAGUAUUUAAAUGCGAGGACAUGUUCUUUCUUCUACCUAUUGCUUGUGAAGCUAGGAAGGAGAUGGGGGUGAGGAAGGAGCAGAGCCCGAGGAAGGUGAAAAUACCAGAAGAAAAAUGGAAGGUGGAGGCCGGGCACAGUGGCUCACACCUGUAAUCCCAGCACUUUGGGGGGCUGAGUCGGGUGGAUCGCCUAAGAUCAGGAGUUCAAGACCAGCCUGGCUAACUGGGUGAAACCUUGUCUCUACCAAAAAUACAAAAAUUAGCCAAGUAUGGUAGUGCACACCUGUAAUUCCAGCUACUGGGGAAGCUGAGGCAGAAGAAUUGCUUGAACCUGGUAUGUGGAGACUGCAGUGAGCCAAGAUUGUGCCAUUGCACCCCAGCACUCCAGCCUGGGCAGCAGAGCAAGACCUCAUCUCAAAAAAAAAAAAAAAAAAGAAAGAAAGAAGAAUGGAAAGUGGAGAACAGGUGGUCUUAACAAGUUGUCCAGAGGAGGAGGAAAUGGAUAGCCCCAGGGCCCUCGUCCUUGGCACAUAUGCACAUGAACAGACCAAACCUGCCAGGUGGGCUUGAGGUUGGAAGGAGCCACAGGGCUGUGUCUACACUGUCCAGUAUGGAAGCACCCAACCACCUGCCACCACGGAACACGUGAAAAGUGUCGAGGUGGCUGCCACAUUGCACCACACAGCUGGAGAAGGCUGAGAAGAGGGGGAUGGAGAGACCCUCCCCUCCAAGGGAGAGGUGCAAGGGGGGCCUCUCUGCCCUCCAGGGCUCAGUAUCAAUGGUGGGAGACUGCCUUCAUCCCCCAGAACACACUCCUGGGACAGCUGCAAAUAGGGAACCCCCAAAGCCCAGCAGCUGUGGGAGGUGAAGGGGCAGCUCGGUUACAGACCAGGCUGCAAAGCAUCUGUCUAAAAGGGGUCUCCUGCGGGGCUUCCCAUUGGCUGACGGGAAGAAGCGUGAGGCAGAGUAACCCUGGCAAUGAACUUGAGGGAUCCACUGAGGGCUUUCUACAAUUCCCACAAGAUGCUGUUGCCCUUCCCCAUCCAAGAGGAUGCCAGAGCCCAUGUGAUGACCUUGUUAUCGUUAAGAGGCUUGAAAAAGCAAAACAAGAUCGUCCUGUCUCUGGAUGCACCUUUGAUGCCUCCAUUCUAUCAGGCAAGCAAGGCCCUGGAAACAUCCUUUCUCUCCAGCAGAGGAGCCUGAUAGGUUGACAGGGAACCCUGGUCUCUGGACUCCCAGGCUUAAUCUGGGCCAACAGAGGAAGGGGUUUCCUGAGAAGUGAGACCCUCCAGAGCCCCUGUGGAAGGCUCCCAGCUUUGGGGGCAUUUUUGGUUUCUUAAUCUGCAUUUAGCUCCACCUCAGAGUGGGGCAUGGGGAACCUGAUUGGGAUUUAGAAGGUGACGAGGCAUUCUUACACUAAUUGUGCCCCUCGGGAUGCAUGGAAUACUAGGAGACACCAUGGCUUUUCACAUUCAGGUGCUCGUGUGAACAUCACCAACUGCCUCUAAACACAGGUAGCAGCAACAUGCAAUCUUUUGAUGGGAAGCAGUUAUUUCUUGAUCACUCGAGGGUUUUGAAGGCAGCCAGGCAGCUCAGGGGAAAAGCAGGUUCUACGAGAAGAGAGACAUGAUAUGCUCAGACAUUUCUGCAUCCUUGUCCUACACACAGUGUGAUCCACAGUGGUAAAGGUGAAGAAACUGAGAUUCACGAGUGUUUCAGAAAACUGCCUAAGAUGUUAGAACUAACAAGUCCUGAAGUUCAAACCCAAGUAUGACUGUCAACAUGAGGUUCUUUCUACAAACAGCAAUUCUGGAAGCUUCCAUUUACAGAGUGUUGCCCACAGAAGGGGCCUGGAAUACUGGUUGUUCAUGGAAUCUUCACUACUGCCCCAUGAAGUAGAGACAACGAUUAAGCCCAUUUUACCAAUGAGGAAAAUGGAAGCACAGAGAGACCUAAUAACCUUCCUAAGAUCACACAGUGAGACAGGACCCACAGUUGUUCUCUUUCCUCACCUCAUCACACUGCAGCCAUGACCAACCAAGAGGGCACAAUCGUCACUUAAGGCAUGAAGAAGCUCUGGUCAUAGGCUUGACUUGCAGGUGAGCCACCGAUCGGGGUUGCUCAAUGUGUCCUGAGCCCAAUUCAAGUCAGAUUGUGAAACCUUUGCUUCAACAGUCCCAGUGAUGGGAAGCUCAAUGGGAAGCGAGUCUCUCAGUCAGCUGCCAAUGAGUCUUUCCUUCCCUGAAUGCACAUAGUGGGUAUCAUAUUAAGAUGUGAGGGUUACAUUCUCUCCCCUUGAAUCUGGGCUGGCCCUGUGAUAUGAUGAGCAGAAUGUAGUAGAGGUGACACUCCAGAACUUCCAAGCCCAAAUCCAAGAUUAGCAGUUUCUCCUUCCUUCCCCUUGGGACACAAUCACAAGAGAAGCCUGGGCCCCAAGGAGAAGCCACAUGGAGGAGAACCAAGGUGUUCCAGUUGACAACUCUAAAAGACCUCCUGCCAACAGCCAGCACCAGCUGCCAGCAGGGGGAAUGAGCUGCUUUAGAUUGCCAGCCAGCAUGGAGACCCCAGGUGACUGCAGCCAGCGACAUCAUGAAGAGCAGCAGAACCAACCAGCUGAGCCCUGUCACCCCACAGAAUCACAAGAAUAACAAAACAGUCGGUGGCUUAAGUCAUUGAUCUCCUAGACAUUUUACUGUGCUGCUACCAAUAACUACCUUGUGAGGCAGCCUGUGUACCUGGAGACUGUUCCACCUUUAGGUGUUUUUUCCAUAAAGCUAAAUCCUCAUUCUUUCAUUUGUCUCCCUGGUUGGAGAUCUCCCUCAGGAACCACAUAGAACACAUGACAGAGAAUUAGAAAUGAAGGGGUAUGAGUUAUUAAAGACCAGCUUGUCCAUAUUGCUAACUAUACAGAUUAGUGAUUGAAGGCCAAACAGAUUCUGUGGCAUUCUCUGACCUCCCAUCCAGGUUGGGUACCCCACUCUGAGCUCCCACAAUCCCCUCUGCUUUUCCCACGAAAGCACUUACCACACCACACUACCUCCUAAUAACGUGGUAACAUCUCUUUCCAGGCAAGAGGCCAUAGGC
rnacentral:lncRNA from 10 species